rnacentral:rRNA from 1 species
GACAGAGGAGCCAAGCGUUGUCCGGAGUAACUGGGCGUAAAGCGCACGCAGGUGGUUCUGUGCGUGGGGUGUGAAAGCUCUCGGCUUAACUGAGAGAGGCCACCUCAUACGGCAGAACUGGAGCCCUGCAGAGGUCCACGGAAUUGCCGGUGUAGUGGUGAAAUGCGUAGAGAUCGGCAGGAACACCCAGGGGGAAACCAGUGGACCUGGGCAGGCGCUGACACUCAU